rnacentral:tRNA from 1 species
GCUCCCAUCGUCUAGUGGUUAGGACACGGCCUUCUCAAGGCUGGGACCGGAGUUCAAUUCUCCGUGGGAGUACCA